GGCAUGGUGGCUUAGUGGUUAGCACACUUGUCUCGCACCCCCGGGAUUGGGGGCUCGAAUCCCACCUCCGCCC